rnacentral:tRNA from 1 species
GGAAAGUUGCCAGAGUGGACGAUCGGGGCAGACUCGAAAUCUGUUGACCUCUUCGGGGGUCCGGGGGUUCGAAUCCCUCACUUUCCG